AAGACCAGCAUGGGCAUCAGGAUGGAGUCAAUCACUCAGGUCUUCAUAUUUCUGCUGCUCUGGUUGUCUGGUGUUUAUGGGAAUACUGUGAUGACCCAGUCUCCCACAUCUAUGUUCACAUCAGUAGGAGACAGGGUUACCAUAAGCUGCAAGGCCAGUCAGAAUGUGGGUAUUAAUGUAGCCUGGUACCAACAGGAAACAGGGCAGUCUCCUAAACGGCUUAUUAACUGGGCAUCCAACCGGGACACUGGGGUCCCUGAUCGCUUCACAGGCAGUGGAUCUGGGACAGAUUUCACUCUCACCAUCAGCAACAUGCAGGCUGAAGACCCAGCUAUUUAUUACUGUCUGCAGCAUAAGUCCUAUCCUCCCACAGUGUUUCAGCCUCAUACACAAACCUCCUCUGACAUUCUAACCACCUGCCUAUAUCACUCAUCCCUCGACCUACACACUUCCUCUUCUGCCUAA